UACGUAGGGGGGCUAGCGUUGUCCGGAAUCAUUGGGCGUAAAGCGCGUGUAGGCGGCCCGGUAAGUCCGCUGUGAAAGUCGGGGGCUCAACCCUCGGAUGCCGGUGGAUACUGUCGGGCUCGAGUACGGAAGAGGAGAGUGGAAUUCCUGGUGUAGCGGUGAAAUGCGCAGAUAUCAGGAGGAACACCGGUGGCGAAGGCGGUUCUCUGGGAAUAUCCUGACGCUGAGGAGCGAAAGUGUGGGGAGCGAACAGG
rnacentral:rRNA from 1 species